AACGAACGCUGGCGGCAGGCUUAACACAUGCAAGUCGAGCGCCCCGCAAGGGGAGCGGCAGACGGGUGAGUAACGCGUGGGAAUCUACCCAUCUCUACGGAAUAACGCAUGGAAACGUGUGCUAAUACCGUAUACGUCCUUCGGGAGAAAGAUUUAUCGGAGGUGGAUGAGCCCGCGUUGGAUUAGCUAGUUGGUGGGGUUAAGGCCUACCAAGGCGACGAUCCAUAGCUGGUCUGAGAAGAUGAUCAGCCACACUGGGACUGAGACACGGCCCAGACUCCUACGGGAGGCAGCAGUGGGGAAUAUUGGACAAUGGGCGCAAGCCUGAUCCAGCCAUGCCGCGUGAGUGAUGAAGGCCCUAGGGUUGUAAAGCUCUUUCACCGGUGAAGAUAAUGACGGUAACCGGAGAAGAAGCCCCGGCUAACUUCGUGCCAGCCGCCGCAGUAAUAC
rnacentral:rRNA from 1 species